UCUGUUUUGUAUAAAUAGUAUAGCCGCGCGGCUAUACUCUUAUUUUUUAUUAUUAAAAAGAGUAUAGCCGCUCGGCUGUGUUGUCUUUUCACUUCUCA
rnacentral:miRNA from 1 species